rnacentral:lncRNA from 1 species
CUACUAUUUUAAAAGCAUGUGACCUUAUAGAUCUAUAAAAUGUGAGAAGUGUUCAACAAUCUUUGAUAUUACACAUAAACCCCACACUAAAAUGCCUUUCAAUAAGUAAAAUGAACCAUUUUAAAUACAGGGAAUUCUAAUUAGAUUGGCAUAGUUAAGGCCAAAAAUAUAAAGUAGACAUUGCUCCCUUAUUUAUCUUCAACCCUUGCGUUUAAGAGGCAAAUGAACACAAAACACAGGUGAAUCUUGCUUUGUUCUGAGACAGUGAAGAAAUUUCCCCAGUAUUUAAAUAUAUUUACAUAAACAGUUAUAUAAAUCUAAAUAAAACCAAUCUCCAAUAAGUUUUAAGAUGGCACUCACCAUCUUUGUGGAAAGUUGAACGUUACUAACGAAGUCUAAUCAUAUCUUUGGAAGGGGUAAACAGUAAUAGCACUUACUGAAUUGGAAUUACUAUUAAAUUCACAAACUGAACAUACUCAUUUAGCCACAAGCCAGUCUUAGUUUUAAAUCAGGACUGCCCAGCAAAAUAUUCUGUCAGUCAUUCAUGAUCUGAAUUCUAGUGUAUGAGAUCUAUUAAAGUAUGGUACAUGUAGAAAAGUCAUGAGACAUUUCUGUUUUGUAGUAAAUAAGGCCUUUGCCCAUUUUUAAAUGAAAUUAUUUUUUCCACUGUUGAUUUGAGUUCCUUGUGUAUUAUGUAUAUUAGUCCCCUGUUUGAGGAGUAAUUUGCAAAUAUUUUCUCCCAUUCAAGAGGUUGUCUCUUUACUCCAUUGGUUAUUUCUUUUGCUGUGCAGAAGCUUUUUAGUUUAAUAUACUUCCAUUUGUGUGUGUGUGUGUGUGUGUGUGUGUGUGUGUGUGUGUGUUUCUUUUUUUUCAGACAGGGUCUCAUUCUGUUGCCCAGGCUGGAGUGCAGUGGUAUGAUCUUGGCUCACUGCAGCCUCUGCCUCCUUGGUUCAAGCGAUCCUCCUACCUCAGCCUCCUGAGUAGCUGGGACUAAAGGUAUGUGCCACAACACUUGGCUAAUUUUUGUACUUUUUUUGGUAGAGAUGGGUUUUUACCAUGUUGCCCAGGCUGGUCUUGAACUCCUGGGAUCAAGCAAUCUGCCCACGUCGGCCUCCCAAAGUGCUGGGAUUACAGGUGUGAGCCACCAUGCCCAGCCUAUUUUUGUUUUUAUUGCCUGUGCUUUUGAGGUCUUAGCCAUAAAAAUCUUUGCCUAGACCAGUAAGUAUCCUGAGGAGUUUUCCCUGUUUUAUUCUAGUGGUUUUAUAGUUUCGGGUCUUACGUUUAAGUAUUUAAUCCAUUUUGAGUAGACUUUUGUACAUGGUGAAAGAUAGGGGUACAGUUUCAUUCUUUUUUUUUUUUUUUUUUUUUUUUUUUACUUCAGGUUAUGUAUCUGAUAGCCAGUUUCAUUCUUCUCAGUAUGGUUAUCCACUUGCCUCAGCACCAUUUAUUGAAAAGGGUGUCAUUUCUCCAAUGUAUGUUCUUGGUGGCUUUGUUGAAGAUCAGUUGGCUAUAAAUAUGUGGAUUUAUUUCUGGGUUCUCUAUUCUAUUAGAUUGGUCUAUUUGUCUAUUUUCAUUCCAACAUCAUGCUGUUUUGGUUACUUGUAGUCUGUUUUGAAGUCAGGUAGUGUGAUACCUCCAGCUUGGUUCUUUUUGCUUAGUAAUGCUUUGGCUAUUUGUGUUCUUUCUUGGUUCCAUACAAAUUUUGGAAUUUUUUUUUCUAUUUCUGUGAAAAAUGAUAUUAGUAUUUUUGAUAAGGAUUGUAUCAAAUCUGUAGAUUACUUUGGGCAGUAUGGUCAUUUUAAUGAUAUGAAUUCUUCCAAUCCAUGGGCACAAAAUGUCUUUCCAUUUAUUCGUAUCCUCUUCGAUUUCUUUCAUAGUGUUUUGUAGUUUUCCUUGUAGAGAUCUUUCACCUCCUUGGUUAAAUUUAUUUCUAGGUAUUUUUUUUUGGUAAUGGGAACUGCCUUCUGGAUUUCUUUUUUGCCUAUUUCAUUAUUGGAGUAUAGAAGUGCUACCAAUUUUUGUGUUUUUGUAUCCUGUAAUUUUACUGAAUUUAUCAGUUCUAGGAGUUUUUUGGUGGCACCUUUUGUUUUUUCUAGAUAUAAAAUUAUGUCGUCUGCAAAGAAGGAUCAUUUGGCUUUCUCUUUUCCAAAUUAGAUGCCUUUUAUUUCUUGUUCUUGUCUGAUUGCUCUGGCUAGGACUUCCAGUACUAUGUUGAAUAGAAGCGGUGAAAGUGGGCAUUCUUGACUUGUUCCAAUUAAUAGAGGAAAGGUUUUCACCAUUCAGUAUGAUGAUAGCUGUAGGUUUGUUCUAAUAUUGCCUUUAUUAUUUUGAGGUAUGAUUCUUCUAUGCCUAAUUUGUUGAGCAUUUUUAAUCCUGAAGCAGUGUUGAAUUUUGUCAAAUCUUUUUUCUGCAUCUAUUGAGAUUAACAUAUGGUUUUGCCCUUCAUUUUGUUGAUGUGGUGUAUCAUGUUUAUUGAUUUGCAUGUGCUGAACCAUCCUUGCAUUCCUAGUAUAAAUUUAAAUUGAUCAUGGUGUAUUAUCUUUUUGAUGUGCUGUUGCACUUAGUUUGCUAGUAUUUUGUUGAGGGUUUUUGCAUCUGUGUUAAUCAGGGAUAUUGGCCUGUACUUUUCUUUUUUUGUUGUGUCCUUGUCUGGUUUUGGCAUCAGAGUAAUACUGGCCUUACAGAAUGAGUAAGAGAUGAUUCCCUCCUUUUCAAGUUUUUGGAAUAGUUUGAGGAGGAUUGUUAUUAAUUUUUCUUUUUGCAUUUGGUAAAAUUCAGCUGUUAUUCCAUCUGGUCCUGGACUUUUCUUUGUUGAGAGGCUUUUUCUUACUGAUUCAAUCUUGCUACCUGUUAUUGGUCUGUUCAGGUUUUUUAUUUCAUCCUGAUUCAAUCUUGGUGGGUUUUGUUUCCAGGAAUUUAUUCAUUUCCUCUACAUAUUCCAGUUGGUUAUCAUAUAGUUAGUUGUUCAUAAUGAUCUCUGAUGAUCUUUUGUAUUUCUGUGGUAUCAGUUGUAAUGUAUCCUUUUUCAUUUCUGACUUUGUUUAUUUGGGUCUUCUCUCUUCUUGGUUAGUCUAGUGGUUUAUAAACUUUAUCUUUUCAAAGAGCAUAUAUAUAUAUUUGCUCUUUGAAAUAUUUGCUCUAUUUCACCACUUCUCUGAUCUUUGUGUUUUUUUCUUCUGUGAAUUUUGGGUUUGUUCUUGCUCUUCCAGUUUCUUGGAGUGUAUCAUUAGAUUGUUUAUUUAAAAUCUUUAUUUUUGUUGAUGUAGGCAUUUAUUGCUAUACACUUCUCUCUUAGCAUUGCUUUUGCUGUGUCCCACAGGUUUUGCAUGUUAUGUUUCUAUUUUCAAUUGUUUCAAGAAAUUUUUGAUUUUCAUCUUAAUGGUCAUUCAAGAGCAUGUUGUUUAAUUUCCAUGUAUUUGUAUAGUUUCCAAGUUCCUUCUGGUAUUGAUUUAUAUAGUUUUAUUCCAUUGUGGUCUGAGAAGAUAUUUGAUAUAAUUUUGAUUUUUGAAAAUUUGUUGAGACAUGCUUUCUGGCCUAACGUAUAGUCAAUCCUGGUGAAUGUACCAUGUCCUGAUGAGAAGAAUGUUUAUUCUGCAGUUGUUGGAUAAAAUGUUCUGUAAAUGUCUAUUAGGUCCAUUUGGUCUAAAGUCCAGUUUAAGUCUAAUGCUUCUCUGGGAGUGGGGAGUUGAAGUCUCCCACUAUUAUUGUAUCAGAGUCUAGCUCUUUCUUUAGAUCUAGUAAUAUUUGACUUAUGAAUCUGGGUGCUCCAGUGUUGGGUGCAUAUGUAUUUAAAAUUAUUGUAUCCUCUUGCUGGAUUUAUCCCUUUCUCAUUACAUAAUGACUGUCUUUGUCUUUUUUUAAAAACUGCUUUUGACUUAAAGUCUGUUUUAUCUGAUAUAAGUAUAACUGCUCCUGCUCACUUUUGAUUUCUGUUUGUGUGGAAUAUCUUUUUCCAACCUUUUACUUUCAGUCUGUAUCUGUCUUUACAGGUAAAGUGUGUUUCUUGUAGGCAGCAUAUAGUUGGUUCACUUUUUAAAAAUUUCUUAAGUCAGUCUACAUCUUUUAAGUGGAGAAUUGAAUCCAUUUACAUUCGAAGUAAUUAUUGAUAUAUGAGGUUUUAUUUGCUUUACUGUUAAUUAUUUUCUGAUUGCUUCCUUUUUUUUUUCUCUCUUAUUGUUUGUCCUUGUGGUUUGCUGUUCUCCUGUGGUGGUACCAUUUGAGUCUUUUCUCUUCCUCAUUUGUGUGUUUGCUUUAUAGUGAGUUUUAUAAGUUUGUGUAUUUUCAUGAUGCUAACUGUCAUCUUUUUGCUUUCGGGUUUCGGACUUUUUUGAGCAUAUAUUGUAAGGUCAGUUCAGUAGUGAUGAAAUCCCUCAGCAUUUGCUUGGGAAAGACUGUAUUUCUCCUUCAUUUAUGAAGAAUAAUUUUGCUGGAUGUAGUACCCUUGGGUAGGAGUAGUUUUUUCUUUCAGCACUUUGAAUAUAUCAUCCUAUUCUCUCCUGGUGUGUAAAGUAUCUGCUGAGAAGUCAACUGUUAGUCCAAUAGGGGCUCCUUUAUAAGUGACCAGAUGCUUUUCUCUGGCUACUUUUAGAAUCUUCUCUGUCAUUGACAGAGAAAGCAGAUCUAGCCUAUCAUUGAAGCUUUCAAGUAUAUUUUAUCUUUCAUUCCAGGAGUUCUCCAGUCCCAGAAUUUCUAUUUAGUCCUUUUUAAUGAUAUUUAUCUCUUUGUUACAUGUCUCAUUCAUAUUCUGAAUUGUUUUUCUUAUUUCUUUGUAUCGUUUUUCAGAAUUCUUUUGUAUCUCACUGAGCUUAUUUAGUAUCACACUUUUGAAUUCUGUUUUCAGAAUUUCAUGAAUUUCUUUUUGAUUGGCAUCUGUUGCUGGGAAAUUAUUGUGUUCUUGAGGUGUCAUAUUUCCUUGCUUUUUCAUGUUUCCUGCAUCCUUAAAUUGAUAUCUGUGCAUCUGCUGUAGUAGUAAUUUCUUUCAAUUUUUAAAAUUUGCUUUCAUAUGGGAGGACUUUUUCCUGAAGAUGUAUCAAUAAUGUUGCUUGGAUAGGGCCCUUUGGGCUUUGAUUCUGGGCGUGUGCAGUAGUGUAGUCUCUGCAUGAUUUCUUUGACUGUAGAUGGCAUGAAUGAUAUCUGUGAUUUCUUUGGUUGUUUAGGGUGCAUUUAUUAGUAGAGGCUGUGAUGAAGUUUUGCUGAGGACAAAGCUGCCAGGUGGGCCAGUCUUCAGGCCUCAGUGGUGGCAGCAGUGGGCUGAGUAUACUUGUUCUUAGCCCCAGGGUGACAUUUGCUAGCACUGGUGUUAGUGGGACCAGGCAGGUCAAUUCUUGAGCCUCCAGGUGGCUCACUCAAAUACUGGCAGUGGCAGUGGUGGGCCAGGAGGGUGAAUGAGUUCUGAGAUACCUAGGCAGCUGGCGUGGUAUGGGUGCUGGCAGUAGCAGUGGGAGGAUGAUUCUCUGGGUCUGAGUAGUGUGCACUGGUGUUGGCAGUGGCUGUGAUAUGAGGUCACCAUCCACAGCCCCAGACAUGUAGCUGACAGGCUUGCCUGCUCUUGGUGGCAGCAGCGCAGCAGCACCGCAGCACCACAUAGAAGUGGGAAGGGACCCUGUCUUUUGCCCAUAAGCCUGGGCAUGAAAGCCACAUUGCCAGUUGGGGCGUGGUUGCCACUCACAGCCCCAGACAGGCAGCCUUUUGUCUUGCCUGUCCUAGCUCCUGGUGGCAGCAGCAGUGGCUACAGCUGCAGCAGUGUGACAAAGGGGAGAGAAGGUCCUGCUGUCUAUGGGCAAGCCUGAGCACAGAGGCUGCUCUGCUGGUGGGGGUGGGGUCACUUCUCUCAGCCCCAGACUGUCAGCUCUCAGGAUUAUCCACCUCGGCUCCUGGUUGCAGCAACUGCUGUGGCAGUAUGUGGAGCGAGCACCUCUGGCUCCCAACUUCUCCUGACUGAGCUGGCCACUCGCUUCCUUCUCCUCUGUGCCUCAGGCGCUUGCUGAGACUUCUCUGUUGGACUCUAGUGCUCUCUCCUGGAUGUUCUAUUCGAGCUCUGCCGCACUAAGCUCUCUACAUGGCCGAGGCACCAGACCAGAAUGCGCCCUUUCGACAGGCAGAGAGAGCCAAAGGGGAAAAGAGCUGAGUCAAGGCUGCCAAGUUCCUGCUUCCAGCCCUACCAGCCGGUCACUCGCGCCUUGCAAUGAGGAAACCAGGAGUCCUAUCUAGAGCCUUUCCAUAGUUGUGGGAAAGAAGAUGGGUAAAGUUAUUGUUAAUCUACAGAGGAAGGAAUGAUGCCAAGUUUUUCAAGGCUUCCAGAGUCACAGGAGGAGUCACUUGGUAAAUCCAGGAGCAGAAACCAGGUUAAGUGACUAGCCUAAGGUAAGAGCCAGAUUUGGAGCUUGGAAUCUGAUAGCCCUUAGGGUGCUUUAUUCCCUGAGCCAAUCCACACUUCUACCUCAGUAAAGGAAUCAACUGAGGGCUCAGCUUUUCCUCUGCAAGAAACCUGCUCUCUGGGACAAUGAUAAUGUAAGCACAAAGAACAAAACUAUUUAAAGACCACACACAUACCCUCUCAAACAAAUCACCUCCCUUUGGGAAAGCAACAUGUUCACUGUGAUAAUUCAGCAUCAGGACCUGAGGUGGUGGGAACAGCUUUGGCUGGUUUGCUGCUCUCCAAGGAGCUCCUGUGCCGGCCGCAUUGGACAAGCAUCUCUGCCCUGCGGCGCAGAGUCUCCAGGACCAGCAGAUGGCGGACUUGCACAGUCCACACAUUUUCCAGGUUCUCAAGUGUUCGCUUCCUGGAUGUUCUGACUAAUUUAAACUAUGGUUAAUUGAAGACUGAAAUAUUCGGGAAACUAUGACAGGAACAAUUUGCUACGGACAGUUUCCACCUGUACUCUCAAGACUUAGAAGCCAUAUGGAUAGAAUGAAAUAGGAAUUGGUGGUGUCUUGGAAUAUCUGCUUCAGGACGAUAAUGAAACUAAUGAUUUAGGGCAGUAGAAGAAGCCGUGGGAGGAACUUUCACAUUUGGCGAGCAUGGAAUCCCCUCUGCAGUUAUGUUUGCCUGUGCAUCUCCGGCAGCUGGAGGACGAAUCACAUCAGGCUGAUGAGUGUGUCACGCUCUUCAUCCCCCAAGAGCUGUGAUGAAGACCAAGACAAACAGUAGAUUAACAGUGCUACCUUUUAUAAGGCUGAUUAGUUCCUAAAAUAUGCUGAAAGGAAACAAAACCAAAAAGAAAAAAGAGUGGAAAGGGGGGUGAGACAGAAACCUUUGUCGAGUCUCAUUCCAUCACCCAGGCUGGAGUGCAGCGGCGUGAUCUUGGCAACCUCCACCUCCCAGGCUCAAGAAAUCCUCCCACCUCAGCCUCCCAAUAGCUGGAUCUACAGGCGUACACCACCACAAUCAGCUGUAUUUUUUGUAGAGACUGGGUUUCGCCAUGUUGCCCAGGGUGGUCAUGAACUUGUGAGCUCAAGUGAUCUGCCCGCCUCAGCCUCCCAAAGUGCUGGGAUUACAGGCAUGAGCCACCGCCCCUGGCCUAAUAAAAUUUAUUUUUAAAAAAGGACCUAUGGCGAAUCAUUUUUACAAAUAAAAUCUAUAGUCAAGGUGCAGUAUGGGAACAGCAUUUUACUGAGUAAUCUUGCAAAGAAUAUGUCAUUAACCACUACACUAAUCUUGUUCUUGAUGUACACCAGCAACAAAUACAAAGAAAAAUUUAGUCUCUUACUUUAACAGGUUCCAAGUAUGCCACAUCGUAUUUUUUGCCAAAUAAUUUAUUAGUAAGAGGAGAUGACUCUAGUAAGUUAUAGAAGUUAUAUUGAAUUUUUAAAAAAAAUUUUUCAAAACUAUUCUGUGGGGAUUGAGGACAGAUGAACUACAAAGGAACAUGAUGGAACUUUCUGGGGUGAGCAUAAUGUUCUAUAUGAUGAUAGGGGCUUGGGUUACAUAAGUGAGCAUUUAUGAAAACUGUACACUUUUUGUGCAUUUCAUUGUGUAUAAAGUUUACUUCAAAAAAAACAUUGAACUCCAAUUAAUUACAUGCAUGCUGAACUAUUUAGAGUGAAGUAUACUGAUGCCUGUUGUUUACUUUGAAGUAUUUCAAAACAGUAAAAUGGAUAGAGGAAUGUGUAAUAAAUUGGUACACGAUAAGGAAAAUAUAGUCAAUUAUGUUAAUAGUAAAAUCUAGAUGGUGAGUAAACUGGUG